UACGGAGGGGGCGAGCGUUGUUCGGAUUCACUGGGCGUAAAGCGCACGUAGGCGGCUUGUUAAGUCAGGGGUGAAAUCCUGGAGCUCAACUCCAGAACUGCCUUUGAUACUGGCAAGCUUGGAGUCCGGGAGAGGUGAGUGGAACUGCGAGUGUAGAGGUGAAAUUCGUAGAUAUUCGCAAGAACACCAGUGGCGAAGGCGGCUCACUGGCCCGGUACUGACGCUGAGGUGCGAAAGCGUGGGGAGCAAACAGGG
rnacentral:rRNA from 1 species